UACGAAGGUGGCAAGCGUUACUCGGAAUUACUAGGCGUAAAGCGCAGGUAGGUGGUUGGAUAAGUCCGUAAUGAAAGCUCCUGGCCUAACUGGGAGAGGUUUAUGGAUACUGUCCGACUCGAGUGUGGGAGAGGUGACUGGAAUUCCUGGUGUAGCGGUGAAAUGCGUAGAUAUCAGGAGGAACACCAACGGCGAAAGCAGGUCACUGGCCCAAUACUGACACUGAGCUGCGAAAGCUAGGGGAGCAAACAGG
rnacentral:rRNA from 1 species